AUGGCCAAGUCCAAGAACCACACCACACACAACCAGUCCCGCAAAUGGCACAGAAAUGGCAUCAAGAAACCCCGGUCGCAAAGAUACGAAUCCCUUAAGGGGGUUGACCCCAAGUUCCUGAGGAGCAUGCGUUUUGCCACGAAGCACAACAAGAAAGGCCUGAAGAAGAUGCAGGCCAACAAUGCAAAGGCAGUGAGUGCGCGCGCAGAGGCCAUCAAGGCCCUGGUGAAGCCUCAGGCCAUCAAGCCCAAGAUGCCAAAAGGCCCCAAACUCAAGCAGCCGGCUUUCAUCUCUCACCCUAAGCUUGGGAAGUGGAUUCGAAGCUACAUGGCCAAGGGUCAAAGGCUCUGCCAACCGAAGCCUAAGGUCCAAACCAAGGCAGAGGCCAAAGCUCCAGCUAAGGCCCAGACUUCAGCUCCAGCCCAGGCUCCCAAAAGUGCCCAGGCCCCAGUGAAGGCCCCAUAGAAAAGGCACCU
rnacentral:lncRNA from 1 species